CAAAUCUUCGUAUCAUGUUUCUAACCCAACAGACAUCUGUGGGCAAUUAUGCAAGAACAUGACCAAAUGGAAGCACCACAGAGACAUCUACUGUGUCCAUGAAGAAAUAAAAUUCACCAAAUAACAAUAUCAACAGAAUAAUGGAAAAUAAUUCCAGGAGAAACAUUAUUAUAUAAUUUGAACAACUGAUAGUAUUAUAUAUUAUGGACCAAGAGUGGAAAAUGUCUUUAGUAACCCAGGUGGCUGUUACUUGGAAAAAAAAUAGAAUCAGAUACAUUGGACCACUUUGCCUUUUGGCUCUGGUGUAGUUCCCCUUCUAUAGGGUUGAACACAUGACCUGAAUGAGUGUACACAGGAGAACUGGCAUAGCCAAGGUGCAGACGCAGGGCUCCUCCUUCUUCCUCUGACUACCAUGAAACUCUGGGGAGGUCCAGACCUACAGAAGGUGAUAGGAAAUC
rnacentral:lncRNA from 1 species